ACGUUUGCCUGAGCAUACUCCCAGCCUCCCAGGGCCCCUUCUGUGUGCCCUGCCUCUGAUUGCAAGUGCAGAGAGCAGUUCUCCCAAGAGCCAGGGCUCAGCUCACCCCUGCAGGUCAGCAAUGUGGGUGACAGAUACUUCUUUUUGCUGUUGGAACACUUCAUAUUCAUCUCUGGUAUUGUCAUGGCCUUUGACAUACCUUACCAACAAGAGAGGUUUGUUGACUGAUGACAGCAGGUAUAACAAAAUCUAACUAGUGACAGUUGUAAGAAUUGGCAAAGUAUUACUGCAUCAACAGGUAUGUGGACUGUCUAAGAGCCUCAGAAAGGACAAAGAAAGAAGCUUACAGAUUCCGAUGCCCCUUACUACUGUAUCUGGCCUUUCUCCUGCCGGUAUAGUGAGAGUUGACAGUUUGAUGGAUUU
rnacentral:lncRNA from 1 species